CAAAAGAGACCGAUAGAAUAAGACUAGGCUUACAAAGAAUAAGUCCUGGGGUCCAUUGCUUCAACUAAAAAACCUUUUAGGCAAUGCUCCAACAUAACUGUUAUCAAAGUGACUGAAACAAGUA